AUUGAACGCUGGCGGCAUGCUUUACACAUGCAAGUCGAACGGUAACAGGCCGCAAGGUGCUGACGAGUGGCGAACGGGUGAGUAAUGCAUCGGAACGUGCCCAGUCGUGGGGGAUAACUACUCGAAAGAGUAGCUAAUACCGCAUACGAUCUAUGGAUGAAAGCGGGGGACCGUAAGGCCUCGCGCGAUUGGAGCGGCCGAUGUCAGAUUAGGUAGUUGGUGGGGGAAAGGCUCACCAAGCCAACGAUCUGUAGCUGGUCUGAGAGGACGACCAGCCACACUGGGACUGAGACACGGCCCAGACUCCUACGGGAGGCAGCAGUGGGGAAUGUUGGACAAUGGGCGCAAGCCUGAUCCAGCAAUGCCGCGUGCAGGAAGAAGGCCUUCGGGUUGUAAACUGCUUUUGUACGGAACGAAACGGCUCUGGUUAAUACCCGGGGCUAAUGACGGUACCGUAAGAAUAAGCACCGGCUAACUACGUG
rnacentral:rRNA from 1 species